rnacentral:rRNA from 1 species
GGGUGCGAUCAUACCAGCACUGAUGCAUUGGAUCCCUUCAGAACUCCACAGUCAAGCGUGCUUGGGCGAGAGUAGUACUAGGAUGGGUGACCUCCUGGGAAGUCCUCGUGUUGCACCCCCCU